rnacentral:rRNA from 1 species
CCCUUAGAUGUUCUGGGCCGCACGCGCGCUACACUGAUGCAUUCAACGAGUUUCUUCCUGGUCCGAGAGGAAUGGGUAACCUUUUGAAAGUGCAUCGUGAUAGGGAUAGACUAUUGCAAUUAUUGGUCUUCAACGAGGAAUUCCUAGUAGACGUAGUUCAUCAGACUGCAUCGAUUACGUCCCUGCCCUUUGUACACACCGCCCGUCGCUCCUACCGAUUGAAUGCUCAGGUGAGCCAUUCGGACUUUCAUCAUGCUGGUUUCCAGUUUUGAUGAAGGAAAGUCUUGCGAACCUUAUCAUUUAGAGGAGGGAGAAGUCGUAACA